AUAAUGUCUCACCAGACAGCUCACCUAAGAGUUUGCGUCAACAUUCUCAACAGCAAAAUCGUUCCAACAAUAGAGACAUCAACAAUUAUAAUGUCUCACCAGACAACUCACCUAAGAGUUUACGUCAACAUUCUCAACAGCAAAAUCGUUCCAACAAUGGAGACAUCAACAAUUAUCAUGUCUCACCAGACAGCUCACCUAAGAAUUUACGUCAACAUUCUCAACAGCAAAAUCGUUUCAACAAUAGAGACCUUAACAAUUAUCAUAUCUCACUAGGGAGCUCACCAAUAAGUUCAAGUCAAAAUUCUCAACAACAAACUAGUUUUGCACCCAUUUCUAGCACACCGGUCCAUAAACGAACCUUAAUUAAGGAGACACAAUCGGAUAGUAAU